CCUCUUCAAUUUUUCAACAACACACGUUUCUCCACCACCCCACUCCUUUGUGAAGAAAACAUUAUUGAUAUACUCCACAUUUGUCUUUUUCUAUGAUUGUUAGAGAAUUCAGCAAGCAGAGGAAGCAUAGGAAGCCUUGCAAGAACAGCUUCUCUCCAUUUCAGUUAUAGAAAAUAGAGUGAUGUUUAUAGAAAAAUCUACAACCCUUGCUUCUAUCCAAGUUUGGUAAGAGUAAAUUAAGCAAAGCAUUGCGUCUCUUCUAGGUUCGUUAGAGGAGAAUCAACAGAUAUAGAUACUCAGGGCUCUGUGCUCCAUCUUCUAAAAGGUAAUUUUGGUAUCCCUGCUUGAUAGCAUAGCAACAAAAUCAACUUCCUUUUCUUAUUGCUCUUUGUAACCUUGCUGCGGUUGAUAAUAUUCGGACGCGUUGUUGGAGUUCCCAACUCUUCAAGCCGUGGCAUGUGUUAAAAGAAGAACUCCAGACUUCUCUCGCCACUACUCUUCACUUAUCGCUCAUCAAGAUUGCUCAUCUGUUGGUCUAGCUCUUGUCAAUUGCUGCUUGAUAAAAAAAUUAUGCAUUCUCAGAGUGCUCUUCUCAUCAAAGCUCAAGAAUUCCAAUAUGAAUCUAAUGUUCCGACAGUACAGAGCAAGUUGAAGUUCAAGAGUUCUUUUACCAAUUUGAUUCGGGGUAGUUUAAAGAUGUCUUAUUAUUUAGAUAUGCUGAAAAUUCUCUUUUUUGGUGUUGAUAAAGAUAGAUCAUACUAACUUGAAUAUGAUCUAUCUUUCUUUAAUUAGUUAUUUGUAUUGACAAUGAAGCUUAUUAAGUUAAUUAUUAAAAAAUAUGUUUUGGUGUU